UAGACAUAUACAUGAUCACGUGACAUUGCGAUAUUUGUUUCACCCUGUUACCGCCAUAACGAGUUUGUUGCUGUUGAAAAAAAAAAGAGAAAAUAAAAUGUACAAAGGUUUAGCUGGAGAUGAUUCGAAACGCCAGGUCUCUUAGCAGAGAUGUUCACUGGGAGACAGUUCCAUUGUUUUGUUCUGGUCCUGGCAGAGAAGUUGGACAUCUGGUAGAUAGUUCCUAAGUUUCAUGUUGUGUAGAGGCGAUGCAUGGCAGUGUAGCCGAAAAGAUUCAUCUAAUACUAAAUUUAGAUAGAAAAGAUAUAGUUCUGGUUGUUUGGUCCAUGCUUGAGUAGAGAUCAGAUCUGAUGUAUAUGGUGUGUAUGAAAUUGUGUUUGUCAAGAGACCCCACAGAAUGAGAUACGGCAGAAUAUUAUGUUGCGGAAACAGUAAAGCAAG
rnacentral:lncRNA from 1 species